rnacentral:rRNA from 1 species
GAUGAACGCUGGCGGCGUGCCUAAUACAUGCAAGUCGAGCGAACAGACGAGGAGCUUGCUCCUCUGACGUUAGCGGCGGACGGGUGAGUAACACGUGGAUAACCUACCUAUAAGGCUGGGAUAACUUCGGGAAACCGGAGCUAAUACCGGAUAAUAUAUUGAACCGCAUGGUUCAAUAGUGAAAGACGGUUUUGCUGUCACUUAUAGAUGGAUCCGCGCCGCAUUAGCUAGUUGGUAAGGUAACGGCUUACCAAGGCAACGAUGCGUAGCCGACCUGAGAGGGUGAUCGGCCACACUGGAACUGAGACACGGUCCAGACUCCUACGGGAGGCAGCAGUAGGGAAUCUUCCGCAAUGGGCGAAAGCCUGACGGAGCAACGCCGCGUGAGUGAUGAAGGUCUUCGGAUCGUAAAACUCUGUUAUUAGGGAAGAACAAAUGUGUAAGUAACUAUGCACGUCUUGUCGGUACCUAAUCAGAAAGCCACGGCUAACUACGUG